rnacentral:rRNA from 1 species
CGUAGGGUGCAAGCGUUAAUCGGAAUUACUGGGCGUAAAGCGUGCGCAGGCGGUUAUGUAAGACAGAGGUGAAAUCCCCGGGCUCAACCUGGGAACUGCCUUUGUGACUGCAUAGCUAGAGUACGGCAGAGGGGGAUGGAAUUCCGCGUGUAGCAGUGAAAUGCGUAGAUAUGCGGAGGAACACCGAUGGCGAAGGCAAUCCCCUGGGCCUGUACUGACGCUCAUGCACGAAAGCGUGGGGAGCAAACAGGAUUAGAUACCCUGGUAGUCCACGCCCUAAACGAUGUCAACUGGUUGUUGGGUCUUCACUGACUCAGUAACGAAGCUAACGCGUGGAGUUGACCGCCUGGGGAGUACGGCCGCAAGGUUG